CGACCAUCGUGAACUGGAAAACUCCUUCUUCGAUUCUGUUUCCAACUUGAAAUUUCCGAUGUUUUAGAGAUUCCGAGGAGAGAAGACAUAGCUACGCAUACGAUAUGCUCGGUGGAUUGUACGGGGACCUCCCUCCGCCCUCUUCGGCGGAGGAAGACAAGCCCACCAAUUCUACCGUCUGGUCGAGCAGCACAAAAAUGGCGCCACCGACUCUUCGCAAGCCAUCGUCCGUCUUUGCGCCACAGACUGUUCUCAGAUCUCAAAGCAAAAUAAAAGCCGCCACUUCGACGCACCCCAAGGUUUCGGUGUCAGCGCCGG
rnacentral:misc_RNA from 1 species